rnacentral:tRNA from 1 species
GGGGGUAUAGCUCAGCUGGGAGAGCACUUGGAUGGCAUUCAAGGGGUCAGCGGUUCGAUCCCGCUUACCUCCACCA